rnacentral:rRNA from 1 species
UACGUAGGGGGCGUAGCGUUGUCCGGAUUUAUUGGGCGUAAAGAGCGUGUAGGCGGCCAGGUAGGUCUGCUGUGAAAACUCGAGGCUCAACCUCGAGACGUCGGCGGAAACCAUCUGGCUAGAGUCCGGAAGAGGAGAGUGGAAUUCCUGGUGUAGCGGUGAAAUGCGCAGAUAUCAGGAAGAACACCCGUGGCGAAGGCGGCUCUCUGGGACGGUACUGACGCUGAGACGCGAAAAGCGUGGGGGAGCGAACAGG